AGUUUGAUCCUGGCUCAGGAUGAACGCUGGCGGCGUGCCUAAUACAUGCAAGUCGAACGAAUCUCUUUUAGAGAUGAGUGGCGAACGGGUGAGUAAUACAUAGGUAACCUGCCCCUGUGCGGGGGAUAACAGGAGGAAACUCCUGCUAAUACCGCAUAGCCAUGAGCACCGCAUGGAGCUCAUGCCAAAUAUCCUUUCGGGGAUAGCGCAGGGAUGGACCUAUGGCGCAUUAGCUUGUUGGCGGGGCAACGGCCCACCAAGGCAACGAUGCGUAGCCGGCCUGAGAGGGCGGACGGCCACAUUGGGACUGAGACACGGCCCAGACUCCUACGGGAGGCAGCAGUAGGGAAUUUUCGGCAAUGGGGGAAACCCUGACCGAGCAACGCCGCGUGAGCGAAGAAGGCCUUCGGGUCGUAGAGCUCUGUUGUAAAGGAAGAACGGCGCAUACAGGAAAUGGUAUGCGAGUGACGGUACUUUACCAGAAAGCCACGGCUAACUACGUGCCAGCAGCCGCGGUAAUACGUAGGUGGCGAGCGUUAUCCGGAAUCAUUGGGCGUAAAGAGGGAGCAGGCGGCCGCAAGGGUCUGUGGUGAAAGACCGAAGCUAAACUUCGGUAAGCCAUGGAAACCGGGCGGCUAGAGUGCGGAAGAGGAUCGUGGAAUUCCAUGUGUAGCGGUGAAAUGCGUAGAUAUAUGGAGGAACACCAGUGGCGAAGGCGACGGUCUGGGCCGCAACUGACGCUCAUUCCCGAAAGCGUGGGGAGCAAAUAGGAUUAGAUACCCUAGUAGUCCACGCCGUAAACGAUGGUCACUAAGUGUCGGGGGUCAAACCCCGGUGCUGCAGUCAACGCAAUAAGUGACCCGCCUGAGUAGUACGUUCGCAAGAAUGAAACUCAAAGGAAUUGACGG
rnacentral:rRNA from 1 species